rnacentral:rRNA from 1 species
AUUGAACGCUGGCGGCAUGCCUAACACAUGCAAGUCGAACGGCAGCACAGUCUAGCUUGCUAGACGGGUGGCGAGUGGCGAACGGGUGAGUAACGCGUAGGAAUAUACCUUGAAGUGGGGGACAACCUGGGGAAACUCAGGCUAAUACCGCGUAAUCUCUUCGGAGGGAAGCUGGGGACCGCAAGGCCUGGCGCUUUAAGAUUAGCCUGCGUCCGAUUAGCUAGUUGGUGGGGUAAAGGCCUACCAAGGCGACGAUCGGUAGCUGGUCUGAGAGGAUGAUCAGCCAGCCUGGGACUGAGACACGGCCCAGACUCCUACGGGAGGCAGCAGUGGGGAAUAUUGGACAAUGGGGGGAACCCUGAUCCAGCAAUGCCGCGUGUGUGAAGAAGGCCUGAGGGUUGUAAAGCACUUUCGGCGGGGAGGAGGAUAAGUUGGUUAAGAGCUGACUUAUUGGACGUUACCCGCAUAAGAAGCACCGGCUAACUCCGUGCCAGCAGCCGCGGUAAUAC